rnacentral:rRNA from 1 species
AUUGAACGCUGGCGGCAGGCCUAACACAUGCAAGUCGAACGGUAACAGGAAGAAGCUUGCUUCUUUGCUGACGAGUGGCGGACGGGUGAGUAAUGUCUGGGAAACUGCCUGAUGGAGGGGGAUAACUACUGGAAACGAUAGCUAAUACCGCAUAACGUCGCAAGACCAAAGAGGGGGACCUUCGGGCCUCUUGCCAUCGGAUGUGCCCAGAUGGGAUUAGCUAGUAGGUGGGGUAACGGCUCACCUAGGCGACGAUCCCUAGCUGGUCUGAGAGGAUGACCAGCCACACUGGAACUGAGACACGGUCCAGACUCCUACGGGAGGCAGCAGUGGGGAAUAUUGCACAAUGGGCGCAAGCCUGAUGCAGCCAUGCCGCGUGUAUGAAGAAGGCCUUCGGGUUGUAAAGUACUUUCAGCGGGGAGGAAGGGAGUAAAGUUAAUACCUUGACUCAUUGACGUUACCCGCAGAAGAAGCACCGGCUAACUCCGUG